rnacentral:lncRNA from 1 species
CAAUAUCGAGGCGACGAACCGGGUGAGGAGGGAUGCCGUCCAGGUGGAGGAGCGUUGCCGGGCCGAGGUCGCUCGCCUCAAAGAAAAGGCAGCCGAAGUAGCCGUCCUCCAAGAGGCCCUGGAGAGAGAGAAACAAGCCUGGGAGGAGGAAAAACAGACCUUGGAGGAGACGGUGAGAAAGGCGGAGGCUGAGGUUGCCAAUUUGGC